rnacentral:tRNA from 1 species
GCACCCAUAGCUCAGCUGGAUAGAGCGCUGCCCUCCGAAGGCAGAGGCCACAAGUUCGAAUCUUGUUGGGUGCACCA